rnacentral:rRNA from 1 species
GAUGAACGCUGGCGGCGUGCUUAACACAUGCAAGUCGAACGAUGAACCGGGUGCUUGCACUCGGGGAUUAGUGGCGAACGGGUGAGUAACACGUGAGCAACCUGCCCCUGACUCUGGGAUAAGCGCUGGAAACGGCGUCUAAUACUGGAUAUGUCCCGUCACCGCAUGGUGUGCGGGUGGAAAGAUUUUUCGGUUGGGGAUGGGCUCGCGGCCUAUCAGCUUGUUGGUGAGGUAAUGGCUCACCAAGGCGUCGACGGGUAGCCGGCCUGAGAGGGUGACCGGCCACACUGGGACUGAGACACGGCCCAGACUCCUACGGGAGGCAGCAGUGGGGAAUAUUGCACAAUGGGCGGAAGCCUGAUGCAGCAACGCCGCGUGAGGGAUGACGGCCUUCGGGUUGUAAACCUCUUUUAGCAGGGAAGAAGCGAGAGUGACGGUACCUGCAGAAAAAGCACCGGCUAACUACGUGCCAGCAGCCGCCGCAG